CCUUCAGUAAAUGUCCUCUGUGAUAAAUAGAACAGUAACUUUAUGGAUGACCUCUUUUAUCCUCUGUGAUAAUAUAAUACUAUAAGAAAUUAUAUUUAAUCUAUGACUAAACUUUUUUUUUACGACAAAAAGACAUUUUAUUACUCAUACUUGAGGUGGUAUGAAUAAUCAAACCAGAAUAGGAUAGCCAACAAAAAAAAAUGUUCCUAUGAACGUGUCUCGCUGUCCUACCUAAGUGAUCUACAAUUCUGUUAUGUCCACUUGGGAUAUAGAUGAUCUUGAAUUCUUUAAUCCUGCUCUUGAAGUGUUGAAUUACUCCGCUGAGAAGCUCAGCAGCCAUGACUCAAGAUCCUUUAUCAUUGUUAUUACCUCUUUGCAAUCUGUACAAAGCAUUGACACGUCGAAUGAUGCAUCAUGUUCUCCAUAGUCCAUCGAAGCGCUUCUAACUCCGUAUGCAAUGGAUAUUCUAUUUGUCUUAUAUUUCUUCAUCUUAUUUUUUGGUAAAAUCAACCAACCAUUUACAGACAGAUCGGAGUCUGUUAAUACUUUUUCUAUCAUCAUGUUGGGAUCCAUUUUACUAAACUUGUAAAGCUUUACUGUUAUAACUAAGAGUCCUUUCAGAAA
rnacentral:lncRNA from 1 species